rnacentral:rRNA from 1 species
UACGGAGGGUGCAAGCGUUAAUCGGAUUUAUUGGGCGUAAAGGGCGCGUAGGUGGUGACCUAAGCGUGCGGUGAAAGCCCGAGGCUCAACCUCGGGUCGGCCGUGCGAACUGGGUCACUGGAGCAGAAUAGAGGCAGGUGGAAUUCCGGGUGUAGCGGUGGAAUGCGUAGAGAUCCGGAAGAACACCGGUGGCGAAGGCGGCCUGCUGGGUUCUGGCUGACACUGAGGCGCGACAGCGUGGGGAGCAAACAGG